CAAUAAUUUGGCGUUCGUAGUUUUCAGUCCAGCAUUUUCACUUUCAUGAUUUACCGCAUAUUUGUGACGUACUGGUAUCCUCUCAUGUUUCACUGAUAGAAAUUUAUUUCGUGGAUAGGAAUAUGUCAAUUUCUUGGCGGAAAAAUCUCGGGUUCAUGAGAAAACUGGUUGGUUCAACACUUGAACAUUGCUAUAUUAGUUGCUUCUCACGCCUCAGCAAAGGUAUCUGUUGGAAAAACGUGAAAAUUGCAUUUUUUGGUUCAGAAAUAAUUGCACAAGUCUUGAAGACACAAUUCUUCUCAGAAUUUAUCUUGUAAUGUUGUAGUGGUUUGGUUUCUUCCGUUGAUAUUGUGUACAUUGCCGGUGGGGCGUAUGCACGAUCUUUUCCACCAUUCGGAGUUAGAAGGCGAUAGUCGUGCCACAGAUUUGUCACAAGACAGCGAAUGUUGGCGUGAUUUGGAUCAUGCCACCGAUACCAGAGGGGUAUCUUGCGAGAUGGACAUGGGUUGUCCAUGCCAGAGCCGUGUUGACGUUCGAGUAUGGUUAUUUUUCUCACUGCGGUUAGAUUAGGGCUAUAGCCAGUGGAACAAUGUGUUCUUGUUGCUGGUUUUCGAAUGUGGCUACACUUAUGGAUAAUCGCCUAUGGUGCGACAUUUUUCCCUGGUGGUGCUUUUUUCGUCUGUGGUUAUCGCUUGUGGAUUAUCGCCGGUUCUGCGACCGUGUUCGUCUUGAGGUAUUUCGAUUGUGAAUCGCCAGCGCGAGAGAUGAGUCGUCGGCAAAGAUUUAUAUUACGUCGCUUGAGCACGUGUCACGGUAGUACGUUUUUAGAUGAAUAGGAAGGAAAAGGCGAAUGGGACCAGAUGGAAACGGAAGAUAUAAAUCCUGCACUAAAAAAUUACUAUGUCAUUGCAACAGCUGUUAAUUGAUAUCUGCACAUCGAUUUUUGAGAGUUAUUGGUCAGUUUCAGAGGGAAAGGAGAAUUCGUGUCGAUGUCCGAUCUGUGCUGAUCACAGAGUGGAAUGUACAGAUGGAGAUGACUAUGGCAUUGCAAAUGGCAACAGAGUAGCAGACUGUGUUUGAACAUGGCUCGGCGCAGCGCAGGCCUCCAUAUCGCAAUGUGGCUGGCGGGUCUCGGGUAUCGUAGCGAGACCUUGGAUGCUGCUGCUAGUUUGAUGUCACAGCAAGGGCGACGUCUCGGGGCGAGAGACCAGCUGGCUUGACAUCACUGCAAGGCCACAUCGGCAGCUGUGAGCUACAGCUGUUUGCAGUACCAACAAAUCAAGCCCAUGUUGGCUGAUGCAACAAGGCCAUAUCAGUAAAUCAUCCAGACUGUGGCUCCUGCAGCUACUGAAAAGGUUGCUACCCUUCUUCAGGAACCGUGUAUGGUGCAUCCAUAGACAUCCCUUCCUAGUGAU